ACACUCCUACGGGAGGCAGCAGUGGGGAAUAUUGCACAAUGGGCGCAAGCCUGAUGCAGCCAUGCCGCGUGUAUGAAGAAGGCCUUCGGGUUGUAAAGUACUUUCAGCGGGGAGGAAGGCAAUACGGUUAAUAACCGUGUUGAUUGACGUUACCCGCAGAAGAAGCACCGGCUAACUCCGUGCCAGCAGCCGCGGUAAUACGGAGGGUGCAAGCGUUAAUCGGAAUUACUGGGCGUAAAGCGCACGCAGGCGGUCUGUCAAGUCGGAUGUGAAAUCCCCGGGCUCAACCUGGGAACUGCAUUCGAAACUGGCAGGCUUGAGUCUUGUAGAGGGGGGUAGAAUUCCAGGUGUAGCGGUGAAAUGCGUAGAGAUCUGGAGGAAUACCGGUGGCGAAGGCGGCCCCCUGGACAAAGACUGACGCUCAGGUGCGAAAGCGUGGGGAGCAAACAGGAUUAGAAACCCGAGUAGUCCC
rnacentral:rRNA from 1 species